rnacentral:rRNA from 1 species
UACGUAGGGUGCAAGCGUUAAUCGGAAUUACUGGGCGUAAAGCGUGCGCAGGCGGUGAUGUAAGACAGGUGUGAAAUCCCCGGGCUUAACCUGGGAACUGCAUUUGUGACUGCAUCGCUGGAGUGCGGCAGAGGGGGAUGGAAUUCCGCGUGUAGCAGUGAAAUGCGUAGAUAUGCGGAGGAACACCGAUGGCGAAGGCAAUCCCCUGGGCCUGCACUGACACUGAGGGACGAAAGCUAGGGGAGCGAAUGGG